UACAGAGGGCUCAAGCGUUGUUCGGAAUUACUGGGCGUAAAGGGUGCGCAGGCCGCGCGGGCAGUCAAUUGUGUAAUUCAGGGGCUCAACCUCUGGACUGCGCUUGAUACUUCCGCGCUCGAACCUUGGAGAGGAGUCUGGAAUUCUCGGUGUAGCAGUGAAAUGCGUGGAUAUCGAGAAGAACACUUAGGGCGAAGGCAAGACUCUGGACAAGUGUUGACGCUCAUGCACGAAGGCUAGGGUAGCGAACGGG
rnacentral:rRNA from 1 species